rnacentral:rRNA from 1 species
CGCGUAGGCGGCUUUAUAAGUCAGAUGUGAAAUCCCACGGCUCAACUGUGGAAGUGCAUUUGAAACUGUGAGGCUUGAGUAUCGGAGGGAGUGUGGAAUUCCCGGUGUAGAGGUGAAAUUCGUAGAGAUCGGGAGGAACACCGGUGGCGAAGGCGACACUCUGGACGAAUACUGACGCUGAGGCGCGAAAGCGUGGGGAGCAAACA